CUAGCGACUUCAGAGUUUGAUCCUGGCUCAGGAUGAACGCUGGCGGCGUGCAUAACACAUUCAAGUCGAACGGUGACUCCCCUUCGGGGGAUGAUCAGUGGCGGACGGGUGAGUAACGCGUGAGCAACCUGCCUCAUACUCAGGGAUAACACAGGGAAACUUGUGCUAAUACCGGAUAAUAUAUUAGGACUGCAUGGUUCUGAUAUCAAAGCUCCGGCGGCGUGAGAUGGGCUCGCGUAUGAUUAGAUAGUUGGCAGGGUAACGGCCUACCAAGUCUGCGAUCAUUAGCCGAACUGAGAGGUUGAACGGCCACAUUGGAACUGAGAAACGGUCCAG
rnacentral:rRNA from 1 species